AUUGAACGCUGGCGGUAUGCUUAACACAUGCAAGUCGAACGGUAGCAGGCCUUCGGGCGCUGACGAGUGGCGGACGGGUGAGUAACGCGUAGGAAUCUGCCUCAUAGUGGGGGACAACGUGGGGAAACUCACGCUAAUACCGCAUACGCCCUACGGGGGAAAGCGGGGGAUCUUCGGACCUCGCGCUAUGAGAUGAGCCUGCGUUAGAUUAGCUAGUUGGUAGGGUAAAGGCCUACCAAGGCGACGAUCUAUAGCUGGUCUGAGAGGACGAUCAGCCACACUGGGACUGAGACACGGCCCAGACUCCUACGGGAGGCAGCAGUGGGGAAUAUUGGACAAUGGGCGCAAGCCUGAUCCAGCAAUACCGCGUGUGUGAAGAAGGCCUUAGGGUUGUAAAGCACUUUCAAUUGGGAGGAAAAACCUGUCGGUCAAUACCCGGCAGCUUGACAUUACCUUUAGAAGAAGCACCGGCUAACUCCGUGCCAGCAGCCGCGGUAAU
rnacentral:rRNA from 1 species